UACGUAGGGUGCAAGCGUUGUCCGGAAUUAUUGGCGUAAAGAGCUUGUAGGCGGUUUGUCGCGUCUGCUGUGAAAUUUCGGGGCUCAACCCCGAACUUGCAGUGGGUACGGGCAGACUAGAGUGUGGUAGGGGAGACUGGAAUUCCUGGUGUAGCGGUGAAAUGCGCAGAUAUCAGGAGGAACACCGGUGGCGAAGGCGGCUCACUGGUCCGGUACUGACGCUGAGGUGCGAAAGCGUGGGGAGCAAACAGG
rnacentral:rRNA from 1 species